ACUAGGGGGUAGUCCUCCCUAAAUUAGACCUCUUUUCAUAUGAUUACCAUCAUCAGUCACACCAAUCUAGUUCUGAACCAAAUCAUAUGAAUGAUCAAUUUGGUAGAUGGUGACAAUCCUGGAAAUGAAAAACCCAUAUAUAUGGGACGUCAUACCUCUGAAUCACAUAAACCCACAGGUGACAAAAGAGCCCCCACAUGAUUGAAUGAUUAUAUUUGUAUGACUACAACAUAUCUGAAUGUAACAUUUAAGGUAAAAUGCAGUAUCCAGUCUAUGAGUAUAUGACUUAUGCUAAUGUUUCUAAUGACUAUAAAAAUUAUUUGUUAUCUACCGAUGCCACUGCUAAGCCUUGUAGCUUCCAAGAGGCAGCAAAGAACCCGAAUUGGAUGGAUGCUAGCAGAGAAGAAGUGAGGGCCUUGGAACAAAAUCAUGCAUGGGAAGUUGUUGAUCUUCCCAAGGGUAAGCAUGCUAUUGGGUGCAAAUGGGUGUUUAAGGAAUAGGUGGAGAUGAAUCAAAGAAAAGAAAGAAGUGGCAGAAGCAAAAGAUAUUUGCUCAACAGGAUCCUCUUAUGCAUGAACCAGCUGCAUAUCAAAGACUUGUAAGUAGGUUAUGUUAUCUAACUACCAUCAGGCCUGACAUUAAUUUUGCUGUACAAGUCUUAUGUCAAUUUAUGAGUGCACCCAGAAAGUCCUAUAUGGCAGCAGUAGUCCAGGUCGUAAGGUAUCUCAAAGGGAAUCAUGGCCUAGGCAUUUUCUUGGAUGCAACAAAGUCAAGCAAGCUGAAAUGCUACGUUGAUUCAAAAGUGGGCCGGCUGCCAAGACACAAGAUGAUUAGUGACGAGGUAUGCAAUCAAAUGUGGAGGAUAAUUGAUUUGUUGGAAAUCAAAGAAAUAGCAAACAAUCUCUAAGUCAUCCGUUGAGGUAGAAUACAGGGUGCUGAGUGCAGCAACAUCUAAAC